CCUACGGGAGGCAGCAGUGGGGAAUAUUGGGCAAUGGGCGCAAGCCUGACCCAGCAACGCCGCGUGAAGGAAGAAGGCUUUCGGGUUGUAAAACUCUUUCAACAGGGAAGAGGAGAAGACGGUACCUCUUUAAUAAGCCCCGGCUAAAUACGUGCCAGCAGCCGCGGUAAUACGUAGGUGGCAAGCGUUGUCCGGAUUUACUGGGUGUAAAGGGAGUGUAGCCGGGCUGACAAGCCAGAUGUGAAAUCCCGGGGCUCAACCCCGGAACUGCAUUUGGAACUGGUGGUCUGGAGUAUCGGAGAGGCAGGCGGAAUUCCUAGUGUAGCGGUGAAAUGCGUAGAUAUUAGGAGGAACACCAGUGGCGAAGGCGGCCUACUGGACGGCGACUGACGGUGAGGCGCGAAAGCGUGGGGAGCAAACAGGAUUAGAUACCCGGGUAGUC
rnacentral:rRNA from 1 species